AUGAACGCUGGCGGCGUGCCUAAUACAUGCAAGUCGAGCGCACAGACGAGGAGCUUGCUCCUCUGACGUUAGCGGCGGACGGGUGAGUAACACGUGGAUAACCUACCUAUAAGACUGGGAUAACUUCGGGAAACCGGAGCUAAUACCGGAUAAUAUAUUGAACCGCAUGGUUCAAUAGUGAAAGACGGUUUUGCUGUCACUUAUAGAUGGAUCCGCGCCGCAUUAGCUAGUUGGUAAGGUAACGGCUUACCAAGGCAACGAUGCGUAGCCGACCUGAGAGGGUGAUCGGCCACACUGGAACUGUGACACGGUCCAGACUCCUACGGGAGGCAGCAGUAGGGAAUCUUCCGCAAUGGGCGAAAGCUUGACGGAGCAACGCCGCGUGAGUGAUGAAGGUCUUCGGAUCGUAAAACUCUGUUAUUAGGGAAGAACAAAUGUGUAAGUAACUAUGCACGUCUUGACGGUACCUAAUCAGAAAGCCACGGCUAACUACGUG
rnacentral:rRNA from 1 species